GUGGGGAAUCUUGCACAAUGGGGGCAACCCUGAUGCAGCGACGCCGCGUGAGUGAUGAAGCCCUUCGGGGUGUAAAGCUCUUUCGACGGGAACGAUAAUGACGGUACCCGGAGAAGAAGCUGCGGCUAACUACGUGCCAGCAGCCGCGGUAAUACGUAGGCAGCAAGCGUUGUUCGGAGUUACUGGGCGUAAAGAGUGUGUAGGCGGUUCGCUAAGUUCGGUGUGAAAUCUCCCGGCUUAACUGGGAGGGUGCGCCGGAAACUGGCGGGCUAGAGUGUGGGAGAGGGAAGCGGAAUUCCUGGUGUAGCGGUGAAAUGCGUAGAUAUCAGGAGGAACACCGGUGGUGUAGACGGCUUCCUGGACCACAACUGACGCUGAGACACGAAAGCGUGGGGAGCAA
rnacentral:rRNA from 1 species